CCUACGGGAGGCAGCAGUGAGGAAUAUUGGUCAAUGGCCGCAGGGCUGAACCAGCCAAGUCGCGUGAGGGAUGACGGUCCUAUGGAUUGUAAACCUCUUUUGUCAGGGAGCAAAGGGCGCCACGUGUGGCGCUUUGCGAGUACCUGAAGAAAAAGCAUCGGCUAACUCCGUGCCAGCAGCCGCGGUAAUACGGAGGAUGCGAGCGGUAUCCGGAUUUAUUGGGUUUAAAGGGUGCGCAGGCGGAAUGUCAAGUCAGCGGUAAAAUUUCGGGGCUCAACCCCGUCGUGCCUUUGAAACUGGCGUUCUUGAGUGAGCGAGAAGUAUGCGGAAUGCGUGGUGUAGCGGUGAAAUGCAUAGAUAUCACGCAGAACUCCGAUUGCGAAGGCAGCAUACCGGCGCUCAACUGACGCUCAUGCACGAAAGCGUGGGUAUCGAACAGGAUUAGAUACCCGGGUAGUC
rnacentral:rRNA from 1 species